rnacentral:rRNA from 1 species
UACGUAGGCAGCAAGCGUUGUUCGGAAUUACUGGGCGUAAAGAGUGUGUAGGCGGUGUCGUAAGUUUGGCGGUGAAAUCUCCCGCUUAACUGGGAGGGUGCGCCGAAGACUGCGGUGCUUGAGGAUCGGAGAGGAAAGUGGAAUUUCUGGUGUAGCGGUGAAAUGCGUAGAUAUCAGAAGGAACACCUGUGGUGUAGACGGCUUUCUGGACGAUUCCUGACGCUGAGACACGAAAGCGUGGGUAGCAAACAGG